ACCAAGACUUGCUUACUACAGAUUUUGUUUUGUACAGAUUAACUGCUGAAACCUCUGCCAACUGUGACUAUACUCAUGACUAAAUUGCACUGAGGAUAUAUCUCAUGGCCUAAGGAUGUUCCAAAAAAAAAGUUAAAGAAAGACUAAUAUUUAACACCACUGUUGCAAGUGUUAUGGACCAGACUGAAUCCCCUCAAAAUAUACUAGGAAGGUAUCCUAGACCUCAACUUUUUCUUAUUUUUAAAGUACUCACUUUCGCUCUGUAUAACUAUCUGGUAUGGCAA